UACGGGGGGGGCAAGCGUUGUUCGGAAUUACUGGGCGUAAAGGGCUCGUAGGUGGCCAAUUAAGUCAGACGUGAAAUCCCCAGGCUUAACCUGGGAACUGCGUCUGAUACUGGUUGGCUUGAAUUCGGGAGAGGGAUGCGGAAUUCCAGGUGUAGCGGUGAAAUGCGUAGAUAUCUGGAGGAACACCGGUGGCGAAGGCGGCAUCCUGGACCGGUAUUGACGCUGAGGCGCGAAAGCCAGGGGAGCAAACGGG
rnacentral:rRNA from 1 species